rnacentral:rRNA from 1 species
CCUACGGGUGGCUGCAGUGAGGAAUAUUGGUCAAUGGACGAGAGUCUGAACCAGCCAAGUAGCGUGAAGGAUGACUGUCCUAUGGGUUGUCAACUUCUUUUAUCAAGGAAUAAAACGACGCACGUGUGCCUUUUUGCAUGUACUUUAUGAAUAAGCAUCGGCUAACUCCGUGCCAGCAGCCGCGGUAAUACGGAGGAUCCGAGCGUUAUCCGGAUUUAUUGGGUUUAAAGGGAGCGUAGGGGGGUUGAUAAGUCAGUGGUUAAAGUUUGCGGCUCAACCGUAAAAUUGCAAUUGAAACUGGCAGUCUUGAGUAGAGUUGAGGUAGGCGGAAUUCGUGGUGUAGCGGUGAAAUGCAUAGAUAUCACGAAGAACCCCGAUUGCGAAGGCAGCUUACUAAACUGUGACUGACAUUGAUGCUCGAAAGUGUGGGUAUCAAACAGGAUUAGAUACCCGAGUAGUC